rnacentral:rRNA from 1 species
UUAGACAGCUAGGAUGUUGGCUUAGAAGCAGCCAUCAUUUAAAGAAAGCGUAAUAGCUCACUAGUCGAGUCGGCCUGCGCGGAAGAUGUAACGGGGCUGAAAUAUAGCACCGAAGCUGCGGCAUCAGAAUUUAUUCUGUUGGGUAGGGGAGCGUUGUGUAAGCGGAAGAAGGUUCAUCGAGAGGUGGGCUGGACGUAUCACAAGUGCGAAUGCUGACAUAAGUAACGAUAAAACGGGUGAAAAACCCGUUCGCCGGAAGACCAAGGGUUCCUGUCCAACGUUAAUCGGGGCAGGGUGAGUCGGCUCCUAAGGCGAGGCUGAAAAGCGUAGUCGAUGGGAAACAGGUUAAUAUUCCUGUACUUGGUAAAGCUGCGAUGUGGGGACGGAGUAGGUUAGGUUAUCGCACUGUUGGAUAUGUGCGUUUAAGUUGGUAGGUGGGAAGUUUAGGCAAAUCCGGGCUUCCUUAACACAGAGAGAUGAUGACGAGGCUCUACGGAGCUGAAGUAACUGAUACCACACUUCCAGGAAAAGCCACUAAGCGAAAGGCUUUACUAAACCGUACUGAAAACCGACACAGGUGGUCAGGUAGAGAAUACUCAGGCGCUUGAGAGAACUCGGGUGAAGGAACUAGGCAAAAUAGCACCGUAACUUCGGGAGAAGGUGCGCCGGCGUAGAUUGUAAGGGCUAGCCCCUGAAGGUUGAACCGGUCGAAGAUACCAGCUGGCUGCAACUGUUUAUUAAAAACACAGCACUCUGCAAACACGAAAGUGGACGUAUAGGGUGUGAUGCCUGCCCGGUGCUGGAAGGUUAAUUGAUGGUGUAAUCGCAAGAGAAGCACCUGAUCGAAGCCCCAGUAAACGGCGGCCGUAACUAUAACGGUCCUAAGGUAGCGAAAUUCCUUGUCGGGUAAGUUCCGACCUGCACGAAUGGCAUAAUGAUGGCCAGGCUGUCUCC